rnacentral:lncRNA from 10 species
CUGUAAUAAUGCCUCAGUUUAAACGAAAAGGUGGAAGCAGGUGUAGAAAGGGCAGGAAAACGGGAGUGUGCAAUGUGGGCAGAGCCAUGGAGGCAAAGGACAGUGGCCGCCUCCAGCAUCAGCAGCUGUGGAGUCAGCAGAAACCAACCCCUCCACUCAAGGGACAAGAGGAUCCACAUCUUAGCUUGUUAGCAUCUUAGGUGGAUCUCAAACGUCUUGUGAUGAGAAUCAUCCACCCCAGGUCGCCUGAGUCAGGACUUCUGCAGGUGCAGCCUGGACAUCCCAGGUAAUUUUAAAGCUUCCCAGGUAAUUUGAUGUGCAGUAGGCAUCAAAAACCUCUAAUCCUGAUCAGUGACACAGAGGGUACAUCCUGGCCUAUCUGAUCCUCAGAAGCACUUUAGAGCUUCCUAAAACUGCAUUUCAGGAGGCCCAGGGCAGGGUCUGUGUUUGUCUCCUGCAGCUGCCAAAACGACCAACCACAACCUGGCUUACAAGAAGAGGUUUAUUGCUCGCGGCUCUGCAGCACAAAAGUCUGAGAGCAAGGUGUCCGCAGGGCAGCGCUUGCUCUGCAGGUUCUAGGGAAGAGUCCCUCCCGCCUCUGCAGCUUCAGGUGCCUCCCUGCAACCUCUGCCUCCCUCCCUCGCUGCAGAGCCUUCUUCUCUCUGGGUGUGUCUCCAUCACCUCUCUUCUAAGGACAACUGUCAUUGGAUUUAGGGUUCACCCUGGUAGUACAGGAUGACCCAUCUCAAGAUCAUCCAUUUAAUUACAUCUCAAAAGACCCUUUCCAAAUAAGGUCACAUUCACAGGGUCUGGAUAUUAGGACAUGGACAUAUGGGGAGGGAGCACCCUUUAAUCCAUGACGGCCCAAGAGUUUAACAUUUUUAGUGAAUUCCUCGAGUCACAUGGUGAUUGGGAACAGCUGGCCAGGAGGACACCUCCACGCUCGGAUCUUAUGUCUUCAGCCACCACUUUGUUCUCCGAGGGUUUCCUGCUGCUGGUCCCGGCUCUCUAAUUCUGCUGUCCUUUUUCUGGGGACAAGGGCCUUUGUAAGGAUUCAGUAAACAUGCAGCGGUGAGAAUGGGAAAGAUGCCUCGCAGGACUGCCGGCGAGCAGCUCCUUCUCCAGAGCCCCCGCUGCACGGCCGCUCUCCCUCGCAGCCUCGCCUCUCAGGGGUGCGCCCAUCUGUUCACACGACAUCUGUGGUAAUUUAAUAAACGUGGGCACACAGAAGGCGGCUCCGCUUUGGGAAGACAUUUAACCUGCUGCAGAGAAAGAAUCUACCUUAAGAAGGAAGUCUCCUCUUGAUUUCCUUUCUCAGUCAGCCCAAUAUAGGGCCUGCUGUUUCUCUUUCAUUGCCAUAAAUUCUCAAAUGGCCACAUCAUACAUGACACUAAGAAGCUUAGCCCGGACAGUUGCAAGAGUGAAAGAUGCCUCUGACACAGUGGAGGAGCUGGGAUGUGGACUUGGCUGGUGAGGCCGGAGGGACAGAGUGAACACACGUUUGCAUCAGACAUGCUGGAUUCCAGGGUCAGGUGUGCCGGCAUGUGGCACCGGCAGCCGACAAUACUGGGUUCUGAGCAGUUCAGGACUGGAGACUGAGAACUGUGUGUCAUUCAGACACAUACUUGGAGUAUCCAGUGCUGGAAGCCAUGAGAAAGGGCAUGACUCAGGGUGUGACACUGGGUCGAGAGCAACAGUCUGACAGACACCCUAAUCCAGCACUGGCCACAGACAUCGGGCAUCAGAGACAAGCCUCCACAUAGACGCUGCCAUGAGUCAAAUCUUGCCCCGAAAAUUCAAGUUCUCCUGGAAUCUCAGAAUGUGACCUUAAUUGGAAAUAGGAUCUUUGCAGAUGUAAUCAAGGUAAGGCUGGAGAGGAGAUCAUACUGCAUUGGAGGGGCCCGAAAUCCAACAGGAGCAUCCUUAGAAGAGACAGAAAAGGACACACGGAUGAAAGAUAGCCACGUGAAGAUGAAGGCGGAGACUGGGGUGAUGCUGCCACAAGCCAGGGACACCAAGGGUGCCUGGAACCACAGAAACUGGAAAGAGCCAAGGAAGGAUCCCCCGGCCUGCAGCCUCCAGAGGGAAGCAUUCUGCCAACCCCUUGAUUUUACACUUCUUGCCUCCAGAACUGUGGGAGAAUAAAUGUCUACCAUGUUAAGCCGCCCAGCUCCCGAUCAAAUGUUACAGCAACCACAGUCAACUAACACAGGAACCAAAACACGAGUGGCAUUGGGCAGUGACAGGAAAGCAGUGGCUUCUGCUUCAGAGGCAUCCGGAAUUGAAGAACAAAGGGGGCGUUCCUGGAGACCGUAAGGGGCACGUUCAUGGAGCAGAGGAAGCAGAGACAUGAGCGAUGGUGGGCGGAAGUCCACACCAGCCGGAAGAUCACCUUCUCCACAAGUUAGGCAACCAACAGGAGGAACCAGAAGGGACAGGCCCCAGGAGUGUUUGGGAGAGUCAAGAAAAGGAUUUUAAGGUAGCAAGACCUUGUUAUACUUGAAGGCAGCAAAAAAGUCACACAUACUUGCCCUAAGAAUUGUAAAACUCAUAGAAUUGUCAGUUAAGAUGGCUACAUCCUUGGAGCAAAGAUCAAUUUACACUUCUCUACUGUACCAUAAAUUUUGUUAUGUUAUUAAACCAAAGCCGUCUUCUUACUGUGGCCUCACAUGGUCAGCCCUCUCUGCAUGACUGUUUUCUAGUCUUAUUUUAAGGACACCCAUCAGAUUAGAUUAGGGCAUAUCCUAAUGAUCUCAUUUUUGCUUAAUUUCUUCUUUAAGGCACUAUCUGUAAAUACAGCCACAUUGUAAGGUACUAGAGGGGAGAACUUCAAUAUUCAACAUUUAAAUUUCACACAGGAGGCCCAAUUCGGCUCACCAAGUAGGAGAAUGUCCUCGUUUGUAGAAAGUACACACUAAAGGAUGUGGAAGUAACGUGGCAUCAUAUCAGCAGUUUAUUUCCAGGUGAUGUGGGAAAAAAGGGUUUUUAUACUGCACUUGCAAUUUUCCUGUAAGUUGGAAAUUGUUUUUAAAAAUUGUUUUUUUAAAAAAAGCAAUCCGUGUGGGGCAUUUAAAAUGUGUGUUACUGGGUAGGUGAGUCAACCACAUUUAAUUAAAGGCUGUGGCAGCCCUGUGAAAUCUCAGCUCUGAAUGUAUUCCAGCUCUUUCUCUCGAUCUUUGUCCACGGCAAGCGUUCCACUCAGCACGGCAUUCCUCCCGCGAUCCAUUCUCAAAUGUUGGCAUGAAUUCUUAAUAUUCUGAAAGAAAAUGAUCCUGGAAAGUAUAAAAUAUUUACACCCUGCUGUCUGUUCUGCCUCGCUUGAGGAAAAUUCUCAUCUGUACACAAAUGUUCUUCAGCUUUUGAGACCAGAUGGCAGAGAGUCAUAAAAAGACUGAAAAAUUAGAAGGCGGGAAGUGGAGCGCGAUGCCCAACAGAGAGCGGUCGUUCCCUGCGGGCUCAGCGUCUUUACGCUCUUCAGAUGAAGGGUUUGCACCUACGAGGCAGUCUCGGUCUAUCAGGCUCUGUCCAUUCCUCUUCUUAAUUUCAUAUAAAUCUCCUUUCUGCCCCCUGCACAUGACCCACGCCCAGGGAAAAUGCCUCAUUGCAAACGCUAUCAUCCGUUGGGGCCACUGAACAGGGGUGGGAUGGCUGUCGCAGCACUGAUCCCCCUGCAGGGAGGCUGACCUCAUGAGGUCUGCGAGCCUCCAUCACCGUCUUCUUCGCGGGCUCUGGGCUAGGAACUGCCCGCAGCCUCACUUGAAGGCCUUCUGUCUCUCACUUUCUCGGUCCAUCUGACCUAAUCUUGCCACUGUGAUCAUCACAGGCAAAGGUGUCAGGAGACCCCGCCAGCACACAGCAGCUGCGCUUGGGGCCUCCUAGGUUCACCUGGGGCAGCGGUCCCUAGCACGCGGGCCAGGUGAUGCCCUUCAAUCCCGAGCCAGACGCCCUCCUGCUCUUCAAUAUCACCUGUCAGUCGCCAAGGCCCUCCAUGUGAGCUCCUCCAGAAGCGGACGCUCAGGGCUAUUCGGGAGGUGAUCCCAGCAAACGCCAGGAAGGGCUGGGAAGCGAGACAGGAAAGGAGAGGAAGGCAACCCAGGGUGGGAAAGCAGGGGCGGCCUCCUGGGCUGCUGAGCCUCAGCUCGGGGCCACGGGAAGACACCCUGGCACCUGCUUCCGAGCCGUCCUCCCCGGGGCCGGGCUGGGCUCUCCAGAGGGCAGCCUCGCAGGGGCUCCGCGGGACCCUCCAGCCCUGGGGCCUG